rnacentral:rRNA from 1 species
UAUGGCCACAUCACAUUGAAACAUUGGUUCCUGUGUGAUCAUCGAAGUUAAGCAAUAUUGAGCCUAGUCAGUACCUAGAUGGGUGACUGCUUGGGAAUACCAGGUACUGUA